ensembl:lncRNA
UGACGCUUCACUUUAUCAUAUGAAGCCUUAUGACGCUUCACUUUAUCAUAUGAAGCCUCAUGACGCUUCACUUUAUCAUAUGAAGCCUUAUGACGCUUCACUUUAUAAUAUGAAGCCUUAUAACUCUUCACUUUAUCAUAUGAAGCCUUAUGACGCUUCACUUUAUCAUAUCGCGCCCUAUGAUGCUUCACUUUAUCAUAUGAAGCCUUAUGACGCUUCACUUUAUCAUAUCGCGCCCUAUGAUGCUUCACUUUAUCAUAUGAAGCCUCAUGACAGUUUGCUUUAUCAUAUAAAGCCUUAUGACGCUUCACUUUAUCAUAUGAAGCCUUAUGACGCUUCACUUUAUCAUAUGAAGCCUCACGACAGUUUGCUUUAUCAUAUGAAGCCUCAUGACGCUUCACUUUAUCAUAUGAAGCCUCAUGACGCUUCACUUUAUCAUAUGAAGCCUUAUGACGCUUCACUUUAUCAUAUCGCGCCCUAUGAUGCUUCACUUUAUCAUAUGGAGCCUCAAGACGCUUCACUUUAUCAUAUGAAGCCUCAUGACAGUUUGCUUUAUCAUAUGAAGCCUCAUGAUGCUUCACUUUAUCAUAUGAAGCUUUAUGACGCUUCACCUCCUGACACUUUCCAUGACAUCACUUCACCUCCUGACUCAAAGUGA